rnacentral:lncRNA from 1 species
UGGGCAGAACUAAAGUUGCAGACAAGAUCCAGCUGAUCAAGAACAUGCUGGGCAAAGUCAAUGAGAUGAUUAUUGGUAGUGGAAUGGCUUGUACCUUCCUUAAGGUGCUCAGCAACAUGGAGAUUGGCACUUCUCUGUUUGAUGAAGAGGGAGCCAAGACUGUCAAAGACCUAAUGUCCAAAGCUGAGAAGAAUGGUGUGAAGAUUAUCUUGCCUGUUGACUUUGUCACUGCUGGCAAGUUUGAUGAGAAUACCAAGACUGGCCAAGCCAC